CAUCAACGCUGGCGGCGUGCCUCGGACAUGCAAGUCGAACGAUUAAAGCUCUCUUCGGAGAGUGCAUAGAGUGGCGCACGGGUGAGUAACACGUAAGUAAUCUACCUUCGAGUGGGGAAUAACGUCCGGAAACGGACGCUAAUACCGCAUAAUGCAGCGGCAUCGCAAGAUGACAGUUGUUAAAGAUUUAUCGCUUGAAGAGGAGCUUGCGGCAGAUUAGCUAGUUGGUAAGGUAAUGGCUUACCAAGGCUACGAUCUGUAACCGGUCUUAGAGGACGGUCGGUCACACUGACACUGAAUAACGUGUCAGACUCCUACGGGAGGCAGCAGUCGGGAAUUUUGGGCAAUGGGCGAAAGCCUGACCCAGCAACGCCGCGUGAAGGAUGAAGUAUUUCGGUAUGUAAACUUCGAAAGAAUGGGAAGAAUAAAUGACGGUACCAUUUAUAAGGUCCGGCUAACUACGUGCCAGCCGCCGCGGUAACAC
rnacentral:rRNA from 1 species